rnacentral:rRNA from 1 species
AGGACGAACGCUGGCGGCGUGCUUAACACAUGCAAGUCGAGCGGAAAGGCCCUUCGGGGUACUCGAGCGGCGAACGGGUGAGUAACACGUGAGCAACCUGCCCUUAGCUUCGGGAUAGCUCCGGGAAACCGGAAUUAAUACCGGAUAUGACUAUGGCCGACAUCAGCCAUGGUGGAAAGUUUUUCGGCUAGGGAUGGACUCGCGGCCUAUCAGCUAGUUGGUGAGGUAACGGCUCACCAAGGCGACGACGGGUAGCCGGCCUGAGAGGGCGACCGGCCACACUGGGACUGAGACACGGCCCAGACUCCUACGGGAGGCAGCAGUGGGGAAUAUUGCGCAAUGGGCGAAAGCCUGACGCAGCGACGCCGCGUGGGGGAUGAAUGCCUUCGGGUUGUAAACCCCUUUCAGCAGGGACGAAGCGAAGUGACGGUACCUGCAGAGAAGCGCCGGCUAACUACGUGCCAGCAGCCGC